rnacentral:lncRNA from 1 species
CUAGACAAGAAGUGAAGUUCUAAUUUCAGGCUUGGUAAUCUCUAACAACAUUGAAUUGAUCUAGUCAUCAAUGAUUAAUCCUUGGUAGAAAUCAUUUCAUAAGGAACAUUGGAAUUCAGUAAUUCAACAACAGCAAACAACAAGUAACAACAAACAGAAAAUACCCAAAUUAUACGAUUUAUUCUCCUCUUCAAAUAAAUAAACAACAUAUAUUGUAAUCCAAACUAAGCAGAAGAAAAGGAGGAAAUGCCUGAAAAGCAACCAUUACCAUCAGUCAUAGAAAUAAUACUAGGAAUUCAAAUAUUCUAAUUUCACAACAGAAUCUUACAUUACCCAAUAAGUCAAUAGAAAAAUACAAAGUACCUAGCUUAGUUUACAAAAUAGUUAUGCAGCCAAAUACAAUAUGUACAACCAACCAAAAUCAAGACUCGGGAAUCAAGACCCGUCUGAGUUAUACCCAGUGGGAGUUGCUGGUGUUGCUGGGCUUGAAACGUUGGAAUCUCCAUUUUCUUGGUGCUUUUUAUCAUUAUUUGUUGCAAUAACAGCUAUAACGCUUUUGAAAAUCUUGAUCAUGAUCUGCCCUCUUUUUGGAGGAAGAGAAACAGUCUGUUCGUGCUUUCUGAUUGACCUAGAUGAUGUGAAUUCCAUUUCUUUGGAUUGGGCAGACAGGACUUUUCAAUUUUGAGGACAAAAACGAGUAAUCAAAAGAAACAGAGUUCAAGAAACAGAGCAAACAAAGAAAGAAAGAUUGGUGCAAACAAAGAAAGAAGGAGAAGAAGUAAGAAAGGUUGAUUCUUGAAGGAGGAAAUGGAGAUUUUGUAAGAGAAAGUGAAAUUGAUCGUUUUUUUUUUUUUUUUCCUGAGUGAAGAGGAGUGAUUGCUGAAGUGAAGCGAUUCAAGUGUUUAUAUAGAGGAAUUGCCAAGUGGGCAAAAGUGUAGAGACACCAAUUCAAUUGCUUGCUUGCCAAGAUUAACCGAGUCACUCGACUCUACAAUCUUAUAAUAAUAAUAAUAAUAAUAAUAAUAAUAAUAAAGAUGAUGAUAGAAAGAGUGAGGUGGUCCUAUUUAUGUGCACAAGACAAGAGCACUGAAAAUUAGAUGGUCAUGGUCCUAUCCUAACAGAACAAUAUGAAUCCAGCAGCAAUCAUAAAAUAUAGAAUCUGAGUCAGUAGGGUAUUGAGCAGGGAUAGCACCCAAGUAGUACAAAUUACUCCAUAUUAUUUUUACAAUUCUUCUCUCUCAAAUCUAAUUUCUUUUUCCUUUAGU